GACGAACGCUGGCGGCGUGCUUAACACAUGCAAGUCGAACGGAAAGGCCCUGCUUUUGUGGGGUGCUCGAGUGGCGAACGGGUGAGUAACACGUGAGUAACCUGCCCUUGACUUUGGGAUAGCUUCAGGAAACUGGGGCUAAUACCGGAUAGGAGCUCCUGCUGCAUGGUGGGGGUUGGAAAGUUUCGGCGGUUGGGGAUGGACUCGCGGCUUAUCAGCUUGUUGGUUGGGUAGUGGCUUACCAAGGCUUUGACGGGUCGCCGGCCUGGGAGGGUGACCGGCCACAUUGGUACUGAGGGACGGCCCAGAGUCCUACGUGAGACAGCAGUGGGAAAUAUUGCACAAUGGGCGGAAGCGUGAUGCAGAAACGCCGCGUUCGUGAUGACGGCUUGCGGGGUGUGAACCGCUUUCGCCUGUGACGAAGCGUGAGUGACGGUAAUGGGUGAAGAAGCACCGGCUAACUACGUG
rnacentral:rRNA from 1 species